AUGCAUAUGACGCAACUAAGCUCAAGGAGGAGCUCGAUGAAGAUCUUGUCCUUUAUGUUGUUCUGCUUCCAGUUGAUCAGUAGUGGAGCCCAGUUGGGGUCGAUCGGGGACCUUGUCGCAUUUGGGGUUCUUCUUUUAUUUUGGUUCCGUAGUCGGACCUUGAUUGUAUUUGGAUGUUGUAAUGCUUUAUUCAUGUAUUUGUGUGAAGUGACGAUUGUGAUCCAACUAUGUAUCUAUUUCCCUUAUGUAUUACAUGGGUUGUGUGAACAUUACCUCACUUGCAACAUUGCUUUUAAUGCGGUUAUGCCUCAAAGUCGUGCUUCGACACGUGGGAGAUAUAGCCGCAUCGAGGGCGUUACAAGUUGGUAUCAGAGCCUUCCCCGACCUUAG
rnacentral:rRNA from 1 species